rnacentral:tRNA from 1 species
GACGGCCAACGGGUGCCGGUGCGCCCUCCCGGCUGCAAACCGGGCAACUUCGCACACUGGGCGAAGGCUGGGUUCGACUCCCAGGGGCCGUCUCCA